GUAGUUUGAAAAAUGUGUCCAGUGACCCAGCCAUCCAAUCAAGAUGGCCACCAUGGCUAAAAAUAGAACCUUGGGUAAAAUGCAGUUUUUGGCUUAUAACUCAAAAACCAAAGCAUUUAGAGUAAAUCUGACGUAGGUAAAUUUGUUUAUCAGGUCAAGAUCUACCUGCCCUGAAAUUUUCAGAUGAAUUGGACAACCCGGUUUUGGGUUGCUGCCCCAGAAUAAGUAAUUUUAAUGAAAUUUUGCUGUUUUUGGUUAUUAUCUUGAAUAUUAUUAUAGAUAGAGAUAAACUGUAAACAGCAAUAAUGUUCAGCAAAAAAAGAUUUACAAAUAAGUCAACAUGACCGAAAUGGUCAGUUGACCCCUUUAGGAGUUAUUGCCCUUAAUAGUCAAUUUUUAACCAUUUUUCGUAAAUCUUAGUAAUCUUUUACAUCUUCUCCUCUGAAACUACUUGGCCAAAUUACACCAAACUU
rnacentral:lncRNA from 1 species